GAUGUCCUUUGAACUCGGUUCUUACAUGCAAGCGAAAAUAAUAGUACUUGAUCUGGAUGCUGAUCUAUUGGAUAGUUUGGAUUUGGUUUAAUGAUCGUUAAGCUUUGACUUGUUUGAUGCGCCUCUUGAUGGUUCGUAACGUCGAAAUCAUGUCCGCACUGGUUAAGUAACCUCGCAUAGUUCCACUUUCUUUGUUGAAAUCAGAUGGAUGGGUCCUCAAAUUAUAGCUACAUGUACAACUUGGUAAGCUAAUCAUGGUUUUGAUGUUAAAGUAGACUCAUCUUCUCACUUUUGUGUUUAUAUAAUGUUUUAAGGGGAUCCGCAUCCUAGUUUUAUGUUCAAUAAUGAAUCGUGGUUGAUCCUCAA
rnacentral:sRNA from 1 species